ACAACAUUCGCACCGUUGGUCUAUCAAGCAAUAUCACUCGCUCGGUGGAAGAUCUUCCCUCCAUCGU
rnacentral:pre_miRNA from 1 species